AUUGAACGCUGGCGGCAGGCCUAACACAUGCAAGUCGAACGCGUGGCGGACGUGUGAGUACUGUCUGGAAAACUGCCUUAUAGAGGGGGAUAACUACUGGAAACGGUAUCUAAUCCCGCAUACCAUAAUAUGUGCCCAGAUGAGAUUCGCUAGUUGGUGGGGUAAAGGCUCACCAAGGCGACUAUCCCUAGCUGGUCUGAGAGGAUGACCAGCCACACUGGAACUGAGACACGGUCCAGACUCCUACGGGAGGCAGCAGUGGGGAAUAUUGCACAAUGGGCGCAAGCCUGAUGCAGCCAUGCCGCGUGUAUGAAGAAGGCCUUCGGGUUGUAAAGUACUUUCAGCGGGGAGGCGUUACCCGCAGAAGAAGCACCGGCUAACUCCGUGCCAGCAGCCGCGGUAAUUC
rnacentral:rRNA from 1 species